AUACUUGAAAAGGUUGAAAACCAGCAUUGUAAUUAGUUUGUCAGUUCGAAACACCGGACUUUCGACUUCACAUUUACUUGGCGCAGUCCUAUUUACCCCAGGUAGGACUUCCUAUUCUGACCACCACGGAAACAGCUUCUAAAAUGAGAGCAGCCCCCACCCCUCACGCCAUCGCUAACCCGAACACGAAUGGGUGGGCCCACCGAGGUCAUGCGGUAGCUCGGGAAAGGCAAGCUCAGACUUGCUGCACUCAGUGCAGGCUUGGGGACGGUUCUCCCUGAAACGUCUCUGGAAUUUAACUUCCCGGCGAAGGAGGAGGUGGUGGGGAAAAGGGGGAAAAUGCGCCAGUGUUUUUCCUCAGCCCCUGCCCCUGCCGGUCACUUCCAGCUCACAGCCAAGAAGCCAGGCGUGCCGCAGGACGGUCAGUGCGGCCUCCCGGGCAGGGGUGAGGCGGCGGGGGCCUCAAGGCACAGAGCUGUUUCAUGGCGGCCCACUUGCCCCCCUCCCUCCCGCCUUUGUUCUAGGCUGAGCCUUGGCCUUACUGCUGAGCGACAGAGACACCGGAACAUCCGGUGAGCCGAGAGCUGACGAAGGGCGAGAGGAACGUCAACGCAUCACGCGCACUUGUGAGACCCCCCCCCCCCCCAAAUAUAAGUGAAACCUGGCUCGUUCUUCUCGUGGAAUGUCAGUGCCCUUUGACAGAGGUUUUUCACACUUUCCCAGGAAAGUAAACUGAAAGCCUCUCUGUUUGGGAUCCACGCCCCAAAGGGACAACUUCACACGGGGUGGUGCUGUUUGCUCGGCUGUGAGAGACACACGAAUGCAGGGAAGAUUCUGAGGCCCACUGAGAGCUGUUAUUUUGUGAAACUAUUAACCAGGGGAAAACGCUGGGUGUGUGUGUGGGGGGGUGGUGUGGGUGUUAUAACAACACUCAAGAUGAGUUCUGCCUUCUUGACAAAUCUUUAAGUGUAUAAUAUGGUACUAAUUACAGGCAGGAUGAUGUACAGAUCUCCAGAACUCACUUGGCUGACUGGAACUCUGCACACCGAACAGCGACUCCCUGUGCCCAUCCCCUCCCCCCCCCCCCCCCCCCCGGCCCCUGGCAACCACCGUUCUAUUCCAGCUUCUAUGAGGUGGAGUAUUCUAGAUGCCUCAAGUAAGUGGAAUCAUGCAGCAUCUGUAUGGAGGGUCUAGUAGGGAACAUAACAUGUAGUUCGUACCAUGUCUGUGUACUUUAAAUACCUCAUGACAGAUGAAGGCCAACAAGGCACUACAGCUCCUUCUAGAAGCCCUGCUGUUUCUCUACACACUUGGACCUUAUCUGAUACCUAUUCCUUCUAGAUGUGACACAGACCAGGAAGAAACAGGCCCCCGCCAGCAUCGACAGGAACAGAAAGAGUCCCACAGCAAUCACGAUGAUUUGCUGGAGUUUUGUGGCGGCUGAAAAGAUGACGCGGAAGUAAACAAGAGGCCCGUCCCACUCGUGGUACAAACGUCGGUAAUUUCUCACCUGCCAACCGCUUAGAGAGAGGUCGUUUCCUGGUAAAACUGGGCCGACGCUGCCCCUCCCUCCCCCGCCCAGCCUCACAUGCUUAGAUGACUAGCCAGGAAAGGCAAUCCUAAAAUAAAGCAGCGUUAGCUGUCUGGUGCUGUUAUUAUGGUAGAUCUCAGCAUGAA